GCCCUACAACUUAAGUGGAAAUGGGCUGGCCAUUUGUCCCGAUACUUGGACGGAAGAGUAACAAAAUGGCCAGGACCAAGGGGAAAAAGAGGCCGAGGAAAACCACAAAAACGAUGGGCAGACGACAUCAUACAGAUAGCUGGAAAGAACUGGAUGGAAACAGCAAAAAAUAGAGAGAAAUGGAAGGGUACUGAGGAGGCUUUUACCCAGCAGGGAUCAGUGCAAUGAAAAGUGCAA